rnacentral:rRNA from 1 species
AGCUCCAAUAGCGUAUAUUAAAGUUGUUGUAGUUACAAAGCUUGUAGUUGAACUUGUGGCCUGGAUGGCUCGGUCUGACGCUUAUGUGUGAGUACCUGAGCCAUCCAACCAUCCUUGGGUGGAAUCUGUGUGGCAUUAAGUUGCCGUGUAGGGGAUGUCCAUCGUUUACUGUGAAAAAUUAGAGUGUUCAAAGCAGGCAUAUGCCUUUGAAUAUAUUAGCAUGGAAUAAUGAUAUAAGACUUUGGUACUGUUUUGUUGGUUUGUGCACUAAAGUAAUGAUUAAUAGGGACAGUUGGGGAUAUUAGUAUUUUAGGUCAGAGGUGAAAUUCUUGGAUUCUUUAAAAACUAACUACUGUGAAAGCAUUUAUCAAGGAUGUUUUCA